rnacentral:rRNA from 1 species
AGUGAACGCUGGCGGUAGGCCUAACACAUGCAAGUCGAACGGCAGCACAGGAGAGCUUGCUCUCUGGGUGGCGAGUGGCGGACGGGUGAGGAAUACAUCGGAAUCUACUUUUUCGUGGGGGAUAACGUAGGGAAACUUACGCUAAUACCGCAUACGACCUACGGGUGAAAGCAGGGGAUCUUCGGACCUUGCGCGAUUGAAUGAGCCGAUGUCGGAUUAGCUAGUUGGCGGGGUAAAGGCCCACCAAGGCGACGAUCCGUAGGUGGUCUGAGAGGAUUUGCAGCCACACUGGAACUGAGACACGGGCCAGACUCCUACGGGAGGCAGCAGUGGGGAAUAUUGGACAAUGGGCGCAAGCCUGAUCCAGCCAUACCGCGUGGGUGAAGAAGGCCUUCGGGUUGUAAAGCCCUUUUGUUGGGAAAGAAAUCCAGCUGGUUAAUACCCGGUUGGGAUGACGGUACCCAAAGAAUAAGCACCGGCUAACUUCGUGCCAGCCGCCGCGGUAA